UACGUAGGGUGCGAGCGUUAAUCGGAAUUACUGGGCGUAAAGCGUGCGCAGGCGGUUUUGUAAGUCAGAUGUGAAAUCCCCGGGCUCAACCUGGGAACUGCGUUUGAAACUACAAGGCUGGAGUGUAGCAGAGGGGGGUGGAAUUCCACGUGUAGCAGUGAAAUGCGUAGAGAUGUGGAGGAACACCGAUGGCGAAGGCAGCCCCCUGGGAUAACACUGACGCUCAUGCACGAAAGCGUGGGGAGCAAACAGG
rnacentral:rRNA from 1 species